GGGGAAUUUUGGACAAUGGGCGCAAGCCUGAUCCAGCAAUGCCGCGUGCAGGAUGAAGGCCUUCGGGUUGUAAACUGCUUUUGUACGGAACGAAAAGCCUCUCUCUAAUACAGGGGGGUGAUGACGGUACCGUAAGAAUAAGCACCGGCUAACUACGUGCCAGCAGCCGCGGUAAUACGUAGGUGGCAAGCGUUGUCCGGAAUUAUUGGGCGUAAAGCGCGCGCAGGUGGUUUCUUAAGUCUGAUGUGAAAGCCCACGGCUCAACCGUGGAGGGUCAUUGGAAACUGGGAGACUUGAGUGCAGAAGAGGAUAGUGGAAUUCCAAGUGUAGCGGUGAAAUGCGUAGAGAUUUGGAGGAACACCAGUGGCGAAGGCGACUAUCUGGUCUGUAACUGACACUGAGGCGCGAAAGCGUGGGGAGCAAACA
rnacentral:rRNA from 1 species